AAUGGGGGACCCUGAUCGCCGCCACCCCCGUGAAGGAAGAAGUANCNCGGUAUGUAACCUNCUANCACCAGGGAAGAUAGUGNCGGUNCCUGACUAAGAACCCCCGGNUAACUNCGUGCCACCACCCCCGGUAAUNCGUAGGGUGCAAGCCGUUAUCCGGAAUUAUUGGGCCGUAAAGGGCUCGUAGGCCGGUUCGUCCCCGUCCCGGUGUGAAAGNCCCAUCGCCUUANCGGUGGAUCCCCCCCGGGUACGGGCCGGGCCUUGAGUGCCGGUAGGGGAGACUGGAAUUCCCGGUGUANCGGUGGAAUGUGUAGAUAUCGGGAAGANCNCCAAUGGCCGAAGGCAGGGCCUCUGGGCCCGUUNCUGACCCUGAGGANCGAAACCGUGGGGACCGAACAGGAUUAGAUNCCCUGGUAGNCCAAGGGCGAAUUC
rnacentral:rRNA from 1 species